GGACUCUUUUGGUUGCAAGAAAAAGAUCCACUCAACCUAGCUCAACUGAGAAAUCUCCUCCAAGGUAUCUCAAGGAACACAAAGGUUCCUGUUACUUGCAACCUAAACAGUCUUCAGAAGGUCAAGGAGAAACCAUGAUAAAUAAUACCUAUUCCGUCCCUUAAUCAAGAAGGAAUACUCAGAGUACUUUCCUAAAUCUUGUAUUAUUCUGGAAAUGUUACCAACCAAUGGACCCACUGCAUAGAAGCCAAUACUAUGGCACCAGCUUUUGAAAAAAGAAAAAGCUUUAUUGCAAGUCGACUGGCAAGGAGACAGGAGGCAACGCUCAAGUCUGUCUCUCCCAGCUGGGAUCUGGGAGCAGACUUUACAGGCAGAGCAUAACUAUGCAGGAGACAGGAAAAUGCAACAAGGUGUGAUCGGAUGGGCCAUGCAAAGAGGCAGUGUUGGGACCUUGGCCUGUAAGUCUAUAUUGAAACAACACAGGGCCCCCCUCGUUUCUUAAUUUGGUCCCUGUUCCUCAAUCUGAGCAGUUAGGCUCCACAUGUGAUAGACUUUUUUGUUGCUUCUAGUUCUGAAGUCACGAAUUGGGCAUGGUUUGUUCAUCUGGCUUGCACACUUUAUGUGACUUGCAACCUGGAGGUCCCCUGCACUUAAAAACUGUUCAUCGCUUUGCUGCAUUUCAUUACUGACAAAGCUGAACAAGAUUGAACUGGUUCUGCAGUUCCAGAAACUGCUAAGUCGCAAACCAAUGGAACUACAAGGUCCAAGAUUUCUUUCCUUUCUGUUACCUUUAUACGCCUCAUCAUGGCACACCUCCAAAGCCUGCGGAUACCUCAGAAGCUGCACCAUUAAAAACACACAUCAACCAACCCCUGGUUCCAGUGAGUUUUACUUGGAUCCUCCCCAGUGCUUACGUAACAUUUGCAAAGUUCUUUGAAAUGGGAACAAUUCUGAAGAUUUUAUUCAAUUCUCCAAGGCUUAUUUUGUAGUAGUAGCAGCAUUUUCACGUCGUAGCAAUGAAGCACUGUUUUCUCUCCUGGUAAUUCGUCCUGUUAUCUAGUGUUUUCACUGCCAGACACUUCCUCAUUUGCAACAGGAUUUUGCCUUUCUUAAUUUCAGACAACUUUAGAAAAUUCAAGCUGGAAAAGACUAGCAACCAUCAACUCCUGUGUUUCCCAAAGUGUGGGACACAUAACACUGGCGGGUGUCAAGUUAAUUCUUGGCAUUACGCAAACAUAGACACGACAUUAAAUACUUCUGAAAUGUCGUGUAUCAAAGUUAUAUUCCCACCUCAAUUUUCUUUCCCUCUGUUGAUUAUAAAGACAAGGAACAUCUUAGCCUGGUGUUAAUAUAUCUUUAGUGACUCUAGACUUAUUAAUCUCCCUUUUUCCCAUAUGGAGAGCCGACCUCAAACCUCACCUUCAGCAGGCCACAGUAUCUCGCUAGAACUUCCUCAUUUUGUUCCC
rnacentral:lncRNA from 10 species